AAUCCAACCAGGAAGAGGCAUCCGCGUAGAUUCGCGACAAUAACGAUGACUUUCCAGAAUACUUGCUACCCUUUAUCAAUAUCGGACCGUGUUUCUGCGAUUUACCUGUUAAAUAUAAAAAAAUAGCUUGUCAAAGGUGGGAGACGACUGUUCACCAAGGACGUCAACGAACACACUGCUCUGGCAGCCUUCUUGCCUUUCCACGAACGUGUCACAGCUAUUACACCAUCGCCUGUUUCGUCCAGCUCUGGAAACAAUUGUUUUAGGGUGACAGAGUAUGGAAAAGGAAUCCCGUGGCAGAGAUGUAUUUUCUGACGAAUUAUGUUAACAGCAGAUGUGCAAACGGGUAAUCCAAAUUUCCCAAUGAAACUCAAGUUUUAUUUGAAAAAAAUACAGCAAGUUGUGCGAUGGCUGCUUUCUGUAACUUUAAGCCAUCCAUCAGGCAAGUGAAGCAUUCCAUCAGGGACAAGUGCUGUCUCCGGGCAAGGUCCAAUCAUCGAGUCAUUUCAUCCAGUGAAUAAGCUGGUGCUACGGGAUAUCCGAAGCAACAUUCGUUAGGAUGUGUGUCGUAACGUUGUCGCUCAGCAAUUUCACAGAACAUUCUCCUUUGUCAAUGUCCUGACGACCGGGCCUGGGUUACAGCAUACAACAUUUCCCUCUGAUGGAAUUCAACACUCGCCUAACAGAUGUCCUAUACCUAGGUGUAUAGGAAGCAACGAUGAACAUUUUGAUCUUGCGGUGUUCUUCUUCUUUUCUUUCUUUGUUUUUUUUUUUUUUUUUUUUAAUAAACUGAAUUUCAAUGAAAAAUUUGGACUCGCUUGUACACGUAAAAUAAAAUCACAUUAAAAUCUCCAAUACAAUGGGAAGUAUGUGAUCCUAAUUCAAUGCAGACCGGAGCAAUCGAACAAAUAUAUGUUAAUGUUUUGAAAAUAUCGUUAUCG